UCCGGUCAUUCGGUUUAUCACGGCGUGUCAGCGCCGGAUGUGACUCGCGAUGUGAGAUUUCGUUACGUCAGGGAGAAGAAAACGUCGUUUCGUCAGACGUAUAUCGUACUACUGUAUUUUUUAGCCAAAGUGUUUUUUGCGACAAGCUCUUAAAAAAUGAGUAUGUGUUAAAGAAAAAUGCACUUUCAUCCUCGUUAAUUUGACAAUUCCAGACUGGCAUAUUCCUACUUUCGCGUGAAAGAAAUUAAUGCAGAAAUAAUUCUCUUGAAAUUUCAAUCAAAUUAUUAAUAACACGUGUACUAAUAUUCGCGAAUUUUACGAAGAUUUAGUUUUGAAUCAUUUAAGAGACGCUUUCCACAAAGACAAAAUUUAUAUUAGCAACUUUGCAAGAAGCUUGAAAAAAUCAUUGCUAUAUGAACAGUUGAAUGCCACCUCAAUUAGCACGCGAUGGCGAAUAACGUGAUGGUAAACAAAUUACGUGGAUUUCGUUGAGUCAUUAUCAAUUUUAAGUCAAACAUUUAUUCGUGACGAGCUGCUUUUUACAAAUCUUGCUUUAGGCCUCUGAUAAGAAAUUAGAAUCACGCCAAGAAAUUCAAGAUUCAAUGUAAAUUUGAAAUUGCAUUUGUUCAGAUUCGCAUCUUGACAAACGAAGUGUCACAAAUGCCUUUACUUCCAAUUGACACGGCUCAAUAGGAACAGAAACCUGACUCUUAUGUUGAUUGGAAAAUUUUGAAUCAGAAUCGAAAUUUUGGAAAUCCACACGCUUCGAUGAAUAACGCGCUUAUGGGAGUCGCGCCUUAAUUGAUAUCUCUGACGAGCGAUCGAGGAUGCCGGUCGUCGGUGGGAACAAUGUUUGAAGCAAUUACGCGAUUCUCGUAAAGCACGACGGUUCGUAUUACACACUCAGGAGGACUCCUCCCAAGAAUCGGAUGACAGGCGACGAAAGAACCAAGCAUUUUUCGUAUAAUUUUGAGGAGCCGCGUGUAAAACGCGCCAUGACGGUGAUCGCGCGGUCGCAUACAUUGGCAGGUGCGAAACAGAUGGCCCGAUAAUACAACAACCAGACACCUUGCGCGUCGCGUCGUCGCUCUCGGACGAACCCGGACAUUCACGUUGAAAAGGCAUAUCGCGUCAGUCAUAAAAGCAAUCUGGUAUUAUCGAAUCGACGAGAAUCAUCGGAGAAACUUGAUCUCCGGAUCAACGUCGAUCGGAAUCCGGCAUGGGUAAUUACAGAUGGACUAACCUUGAUGAAGCAAUCGUUGAAGGACAAAUUGUGCCUUAAAGAAUUCUGCCACCGUCGCGUGUCCUUUCUGUAGUACGGGAAGCGGUCGGCGAUGAAUUUGUAAAUCUCGGCAAGCGGCAGCAUCUUGUCCCUCGACGACCAUAUCGCCAUCGCCGUUAACGAUAUAUAUGAGUACGGCGGUUUCUGAUCACCAUUUGCGCCGAUACUCGUUCGCCAGCAUCCUCCAGAUCACGAACCGGCGGCGGGAGCACCGGAAUAGGAGCUGCUUUCCGAGGACGAGGAUCUCCAUCGGACCCAACCACGGAAUCCCGCGGUCGGCCGAGGCCCGAGCCCACGCUGUUGUCGCGCACGUAUCACAAUAUAUCACAACAAUCCGGACAACGAUUUAGACUUGAACACUGUUCCGAUCCCGACAAAUCCUCGUUACGUUAUUCCGCAAUUAAGGGAAAAGACCUCCGGGAGCGCACGCUCAGGCACGCCGAGUACCCGCGAUCGCGUCUCCGCGGAUACUGCGGCCGAUCUAUACCCACACCCCCGCAACGGGCUUCCCCUACCCGUAGCCUCGCAGCAUCGCUGUGUCCCGGAUUGGAGGCAGUCGCGGAUCGCGUUCUCGGCCGGUUCUCGCUCCCGCUUCGUAUAAACACCUCUGUCCAAUGGCGCAGUGGCUCUCCCACCUUCUCGAAGGAGUUUCCACGACGCGAAUAGGGCGUCGUCUAUCUAUUCGAGCGGAUAUCGAGGGCGGGUUUCUCUCUCAACACCGCUGCUUUAGACCACCUCCCUCGAACGAACGGGAACAACCAAUGCGUCAGCCAAUCCGAUCGAGUAUCGCGAUCGACCUCGCGCGCGCGUUCACCGAUACCGCGUAUGCACCGUCGAAGUACAGCACCGGGUACAUUACUACUCAUCCCAGCGGGUAGGACGGACUGGGUAGGACGAAGAAAGAAGAGUCCUGUCUUCCGUCGCGGAUCGAUCCGCCAGCGUACUUUCGUUCUGAGGAUUGAAAGCGAUGUAAUUUCACGUUGAGUCUCGUUCUCUUGUAUUGAGACGGGAGUGUCUGGAUUUGUUUGGAGAGCUAAAAGAUAAAAGAUGACAACAAUAGCGCCGUUGCUACUUGAAAUUAAAAGUGGACGUAUCCUUUUUGAAAUAACUCGAGAUUUACUGAGCAAAGGUUAAUUUCUGAUAAUAAAGUUAAGCGAAAAAAAAGAUUAUUGCGAACAUUAUCGCGUAGUUCCAACAAUCAUAUCUGGCUGGUUUUUAGCAAUUAGCAAUUUUCAACCCCAUCUCGAUCAACCACGCGAGUAUCAGUGCAAUUGUUUAGUAUUAUUAGCGAUUUUACAUUGCUUAUCGAGAGAACAUAGGAUCAAUCUUUUUUCGUACUUAAUAUGAUCAAACAUAAUCUUGAUCGACGACCGGCGACGAACCCAAAGGUAACGAAAAGAAAGGGGUGGGAGAAGAUAAACACCAAUCAGAGCAAAGCGUCUUCUUCGCCUGUAGUUUGUUGGCAAGAGGCGUGUCGCUACGCCUCGUGUCUCACCGACAAAAUGGCAAUUCUCGUUGUUCAUAUAAUGUAUACUAUGCUUCACGUUCAUAUGAACAAAUCGGCCAGAGGCAUUUUCGAAAGGUAUGCAUUACAUCUAGAUAGGUACAAAAAAUUCAUAAUAUAGAAAAUAGACAGCUCACAAUAUACAUAUAUAAAUGGAGUGGCUGGCAUUUAACACUUGUAAUAAUUCAAAUAGUAAGUACCUUAAAUAAGAUAAGUACAUAUUUAUUUUUUCUUUCCAUAUCAAAUUUAAAAAAGAGAGAAUUUUAUCUCCUGCUAUAAAUUUAAAAUUAAACAAAAGUAAAAUUUUCUUUAAUCGGUUUUAUAUUGACAGAAUUUUGAGAAAUUUAUAGGGAUAUGUAAUCAGAAAUAGGAAAAUAUGAUAAAUAAUAUAAUUUCUAUUGCUAAGGAAAAACCUACUUCAUAUUGUUUAAAUCUGUUAUAAUUAAAAUAUCACAGAUUUUGAGAAGAAUAUACUUCAUAUAUAUAUUCAUGUAUAUGUUCAUAUUUAAUAAUUUUUUUAAAUUUAUGUUUCUGUUUUUUUCUUUUUAUGUCGUAUGAGAAAGCUCUAUUAACUGCUGUGUUAAAUAUAAGUCUUAUUUUUCAUUCCAUUACUAUGAGAGGACAUUUUUUGUGUGAGCCACGCACUAGGCCCUACUAAAGCAAGACAUCCAAAUUUAUUUUAGAUACAAUUGAUUGGAUU